AACGUAGGACGCAAGCGUUAUCCGGAGUUACUGGGCGUAAAGCGCGGGCAGGCGGUUGGUCAAGUCUGAUGUGAAAUCUCCUCGCUCAACGGGGAGCAGCCAUUGGAAACUGGGCAACUGGAGUCUGGCAGAGGUAGGCGGAAUUCCGGGUGGAGUGGUGAAAUGCGUAGAGAUCCGGAGGAACACCAGAGGCGAAGGCGGCCUACUGGGCCAGUACUGACGCUGAGACGCGAAAGCCAGGGGAGCAAACGGG
rnacentral:rRNA from 1 species